rnacentral:rRNA from 1 species
UACGGAGGGUGCAAGCGUUAUCCGGAUUUACUGGGUGUAAAGGGAGCGUAGGCGGCCUUAUAAGUCAGUGGUGAAAUCUUUGGGCUUAACCCAAAAAUUGCCAUUGAUACUGUAGGGCUUGAGUACAGUUGCUGUGGGCGGAAUAUGACAUGUAGUGGUGAAAUACAUAGAGAUGUCAUAGAACACCGAUUGCGAAGGCAGCUCACAAAACUGUAACUGACGCUGAGGCUCGAAAGUGCGGGGAUCAAACAGG